rnacentral:rRNA from 1 species
GGUUAAGCGACUAAGCGUACACGGUGGAUGCCCUGGCAGUCAGAGGCGAUGAAGGACGUGCUAAUCUGCGAUAAGCGUCGGUAAGGUGAUAUGAACCGUUAUAACCGGCGAUUUCCGAAUGGGGAAACCCAGUGUGUUUCGACACACUAUCAUUAACUGAAUCCAUAGGUUAAUGAGGCGAACCGGGGGAACUGAAACAUCUAAGUACCCCGAGGAAAAGAAAUCAACCGAGAUUCCCCCAGUAGCGGCGAGCGAACGGGGAGGAGCCCAGAGCCUGAAUCAGUGUGUGUGUUAGUGGAAGCGUCUGGAAAGGCGCGCGAUACAGGGUGACAGCCCCGUACACAAAAAUGCACAUGCUGUGAGCUCGAUGAGUAGGGCGGGACACGUGGUAUCCUGUCUGAAUAUGGGGGGACCAUCCUCCAAGGCUAAAUACUCCUGACUGACCGAUAGUGAACCAGUACCGUGAGGGAAAGGCGAAAAGAACCCCGGCGAGGGGAGUGAAAAAGAACCUGAAACCGUGUACGUACAAGCAGUGGGAGCCUCUUUAUGGGGUGACUGCGUACCUUUUGUAUAAUGGGUCAGCGACUUAUAUUCUGUAGCAAGGUUAACCGAAUAGGGGAGCCGAAGGGAAACCGAGUCUUAACUGGGCGUUAAGUUGCAGGGUAUAGACCCGAAACCCGGUGAUCUAGCCAUGGGCAGGUUGAAGGUUGGGUAACACUAACUGGAGGACCGAACCGACUAAUGUUGAAAAAUUAGCGGAUGACUUGUGGCUGGGGGUGAAAGGCCAAUCAAACCGGGAGAUAGCUGGUUCUCCCCGAAAGCUAUUUAGGUAGCGCCUCGUGAAUUCAUCUCCGGGGGUAGAGCACUGUUUCGGCAAGGGGGUCAUCCCGACUUACCAACCCGAUGCAAACUGCGAAUACCGGAGAAUGUUAUCACGGGAGACACACGGCGGGUGCUAACGUCCGUCGUGAAGAGGGAAACAACCCAGACCGCCAGCUAAGGUCCCAAAGUCAUGGUUAAGUGGGAAACGAUGUGGGAAGGCCCAGACAGCCAGGAUGUUGGCUUAGAAGCAGCCAUCAUUUAAAGAAAGCGUAAUAGCUCACUGGUCGAGUCGGCCUGCGCGGAAGAUGUAACGGGGCUAAACCAUGCACCGAAGCUGCGGCAGCGACGCUUAUGCGUUGUUGGGUAGGGGAGCGUUCUGUAAGCCUGUGAAGGUGUGCUGUGAGGCAUGCUGGAGGUAUCAGAAGUGCGAAUGCUGACAUAAGUAACGAUAAAGCGGGUGAAAAGCCCGCUCGCCGGAAGACCAAGGGUUCCUGUCCAACGUUAAUCGGGGCAGGGUGAGUCGACCCCUAAGGCGAGGCCGAAAGGCGUAGUCGAUGGGAAACAGGUUAAUAUUCCUGUACUUGGUGUUACUGCGAAGGGGGGACGGAGAAGGCUAUGUUGGCCGGGCGACGGUUGUCCCGGUUUAAGCGUGUAGGCUGGUUUUCCAGGCAAAUCCGGAAAAUCAAGGCUGAGGCGUGAUGACGAGGCACUACGGUGCUGAAGCAACAAAUGCCCUGCUUCCAGGAAAAGCCUCUAAGCAUCAGGUAACAUCAAAUCGUACCCCAAACCGACACAGGUGGUCAGGUAGAGAAUACCAAGGCGCUUGAGAGAACUCGGGUGAAGGAACUAGGCAAAAUGGUGCCGUAACUUCGGGAGAAGGCACGCUGAUAUGUAGGUGAAGUCCCUCGCGGAUGGAGCUGAAAUCAGUCGAAGAUACCAGCUGGCUGCAACUGUUUAUUAAAAACACAGCACUGUGCAAACACGAAAGUGGACGUAUACGGUGUGACGCCUGCCCGGUGCCGGAAGGUUAAUUGAUGGGGUCAGCGCAAGCGAAGCUCUUGAUCGAAGCCCCGGUAAACGGCGGCCGUAACUAUAACGGUCCUAAGGUAGCGAAAUUCCUUGUCGGGUAAGUUCCGACCUGCACGAAUGGCGUAAUGAUGGCCAGGCUGUCUCCACCCGAGACUCAGUGAAAUUGAACUCGCUGUGAAGAUGCAGUGUACCCGCGGCAAGACGGAAAGACCCCGUGAACCUUUACUAUAGCUUGACACUGAACAUUGAGCCUUGAUGUGUAGGAUAGGUGGGAGGCUUAGAAGUGUGGACGCCAGUCUGCAUGGAGCCGGCCUUGAAAUACCACCCUUUAAUGUUUGAUGUUCUAACGUUGACCCGUAAUCCGGGUUGCGGACAGUGUCUGGUGGGUAGUUUGACUGGGGCGGUCUCCUCCUAAAGAGUAACGGAGGAGCACGAAGGUUGGCUAAUCCUGGUCGGACAUCAGGAGGUUAGUGCAAUGGCAUAAGCCAGCUUGACUGCGAGCGUGACGGCGCGAGCAGGUGCGAAAGCAGGUCAUAGUGAUCCGGUGGUUCUGAAUGGAAGGGCCAUCGCUCAACGGAUAAAAGGUACUCCGGGGAUAACAGGCUGAUACCGCCCAAGAGUUCAUAUCGACGGCGGUGUUUGGCACCUCGAUGUCGGCUCAUCACAUCCUGGGGCUGAAGUAGGUCCCAAGGGUAUGGCUGUUCGCCAUUUAAAGUGGUACGCGAGCUGGGUUUAGAACGUCGUGAGACAGUUCGGUCCCUAUCUGCCGUGGGCGCUGGAGAACUGAGGGGGGCUGCUCCUAGUACGAGAGGACCGGAGUGGACGCAUCACUGGUGUUCGGGUUGUCAUGCCAAUGGCACUGCCCGGUAGCUAAAUGCGGAAGAGAUAAGUGCUGAAAGCAUCUAAGCACGAAACUUGCCCCGAGAUGAGUUCUCCCUGACCCUUUAAGGGUCCUGAAGGAACGUUGAAGACGACGACGUUGAUAGGCCGGGUGUGUAAGCGCAGCGAUGCGUUGAGCUAACCGGUACUAAUGAACCGUGAGGCUUAACCUU